rnacentral:piRNA from 1 species
UCAUAAGAAAGAACACAACUGUGUUGGGGG